GAAGCAGGUGAAAGAGGGAGCUGCAACUACAGAUGGGGCAGAACCUGCUCAGGAAGAGGUGGACUCUGUUGCACUGGAAAUAUACCAGGAAAAGCUCUAUAUUGAAGUUUACAGGCUACUGGAUGCAAUGGUGAGUGAAAUGGUGUCUUUAUUCGAGGAUCUAAAGCAGUAACAUGCUCUGAAGUUGGAGUGAAGCCUUUUGUAUGUAGAAAUAGACUUGCUUUUAAAAAAAUAAAUAAAUAACCAUAUUUACACAGAUGGA